rnacentral:lncRNA from 1 species
CAAGUUGAUACCAUAACUUCAAACUAAAAUUUUUUGUUCUCCUAGCCUACAAACAUAAAUUAACCUUUUAGCUUCAUUUAGUGUUCCGUUUAUAUUUGUACAGAACAUACACUACUAAAUUUUCAACAACCAACGAUCAGACAACGUAUUUCAUCCCAGCUAGAAACCGUAUAUACAACUCCGGAUCUUCGAUUCCAACUAAAACCGCUUCCUUCUACAUGCUCUCUUUGUUUCAUGACUAAUCCAAGCCACAAAGGCAUGAACGAAACGCCAAAAUGGCCCCCGACUUUUCUAAGACUUGAGCUUGAGCCGAUCACAAUGCCUAUGUCUGCUUCUACAAGGCAAAGUAAGUCGCCAAUCGAGUCACCAAUGUAGAUCGUUAUAUUUGUUUGGUCACAUUGAUCAUGUUCUUUCAAAACGUCAUUGAAGACGUGAAGCUUGUCGAGAGGGGACUCUACUUUUUUCAUGAUUUCACCAGUCGAUAGAAGGCCUUCAUAGAUGAACUCAUUUGCAUGUAGUUCCAGAUUGUGUAUACCCCCUGAAACAUGGCACAUUAUAUACAACAUAUCUUAAAACACUCGUCAUAUUAGAGGGGUGAAUUUUUGACACAACACGAACCUAACAUGAAAUUCACGGGUUUGAGGUUGGAAUAAAGUGGACCACGUCAUUUUCAGGUAGACAAGUGAACAUGUUUAGCUAAACGAGUCGUAUCUGGGUCAACAUGGGUGGUUUCCGGGUUAGUCCGUUAGACAUCUAGUUUCAUAGUUUAAAUGUAAAAUUAAUAUUUUAUUAUAUUUGUUUUUUCAUUUGUAAAUUUGCAAAUAUUAGAGUACUAAUACGCAAAAAUAAACAAAAUUUCGGGUUACACAGGUCUACUUUUUGUCAACCGUUAAACCUCGUGUUGUGUUUGGGGUCAUGUUUCUACCCACAAACACGACCUAUUUAGCACCUAUUGGCAUUAUAUUGAAUAAGAUAGAAAGCAGAUUGCUUGUGAACAAUUUAUGAGCAAUUAAAGUGUUACCUGAUUCAAAUGUAGACCUGAUAAGAUCACCACACCAGCAAUAAGACACAACAUGGAUACUUGCAUUCAAAUUUUGAUCUUUCAUAACACUCUGAAAGAAAUCCAUGCAACCAUCUUGAAGAACAAGAUGUUGACCCGCGUGUUUUAUGUCAUCAAGAUUUAAACCUCUAAGUAUCUUAGAUUCAGUCACUCUCGUAUUUGCCCUUUUCUCAAAGUCUGAUAGUUGUUCAAGUGCUUUCCGUAAACCCUCGUAGUCAAAUUUCUCCCCUUUUUAAAAUGAAAAAAAAAAAGAAAUUUUUAUUUUUUUAUAUUCAUAAUUCAAAUUCCUUAAUGCGUUGUUCAUGUUUAAAAAGUAACAUGAUGCUUUACCUUUCUGAUUGACCAACAUAGUUUCCAUUAAAUGUUCAUAUUCUUCUGCAUAUUGCUUAACUAAUGCUUCCCAUGUGUUUUUCAAUUUGGUCAAGGGCAUCUUGGUAAUUUGACUUUGACUUUGAUUUUCGGGUUGGGCUUGACCCGGAGUUGGUGAUGUAGCCAUAGCAAUAUCAGCGAAAACAGUACAUGAAUCAACUACUGUGCAUGUCAAAUCAAAAUCAGAGAAAAUUGUAACACGGUUGUGCUCCUUUGAUAAUGGAACGACGGUCUGCUGAUCAAUAGGUUGGGCUAAAAAGAACUCCAUCUCGAGUUUCAUUGCUUGCUGAUAAAGUUUUUGCAAAAUAUCAAGUUCUACACCAGUCAAAGUGACACUUAAUUUGUCAAGCAAGUUCUCACUUUGGAGCGCCGCCGCCUAAUAUUUUAAGAAAUGCCAAUGAACCCGAGUCAUAAACGUGUCAUGCCAGAAAGUAGAGGUUGCAAUUUCAACCCAUUUGCUUAUAAAUAGGCUCACUCAAGUAAUGAGUUAUAUCUAAUGGGUCAGACAGAUCAUCAUCGUCAUCAUCAUACUUAGUAAAUCUCACCAAUAGCAAAGCAAAGGUAGGGUCUGAGGAGGGUAAGAUGUAGACAGCCUUACUUCUACCCCGUAGGGAUAGAGAGACUGCUUCCAGUGAGACCCCCGGCUCGAUAGUAGUUUUGCAUCAAGCCUUGGACAUAAGGCACAUAACACUCAGCAAUCGAGACAAAGACCGAUUAGUGCAUGUACCCUUUAGUCUUUCAGCUAUCAACACCACCACAUGAUGCAUGAUUAACCGUCCUCAGAUUUUAGCGUUAUUUUCACGAAAUUAGUAUAAUAAUGUUAAAAUUAGUGCCCUUUCUUUUUUGCCCCCCGAUGGCCCACAGGCCCCACACAUAUAAACAUUAUAUGCGAAUACCGCAAGCGGGGCGUAUAAUGGGUCAGACAGAUAAAUAGCUAAAAAUGGAAAUGUGUCAACCAGGCCGAACAUUGCACAAAGUGUAUUUUAUUCUAAAACUUAGAUUCUUGUUGAACAAAAAUAAUUUUACUAAUAACAAUUAGCUAACUAAAUGUUUUA